UACGGGGGGGGGCAAGCGUUGUUCGGAAUUACUGGGCGUAAAGGGCUCGUAGGCGGCCAACUAAGUCAGACGUGAAAUCCCUCAGCUUAACUGGGGAACUGCGUCUGAUACUGGAUGGCUUGGAUUUGGGAGAGGGAUGCGGAAUUCCAGGUGUAGCGGUGAAAAUGCGUAGAUAUCUGGAGGAACACCGGUGGCGAAGGCGGCAUCCUGGACCAAUAUUGACGCUGAGGAGCGAAAGCCAGGGGAGCAAACGGG
rnacentral:rRNA from 1 species